GCUUCCCUGUCUUUCACCAUCUCCUGGAGUUUGCUCAAACUCAUGUCCAUUGAGUUGGAUUGCUAGGCCAGCAAAGCAUCAAGUGCUCUGAUAACCAUGUGUGUCAGGCUCAGAAAGGGACUUGAAAGUUUCCUUCAGAGUAUUUUGGAAGAAAAACCUGAGAAAUGAAAGCUGGAGGAUAGUAAUUUUCUUCUUUAGGCCAUACCACGAGGCUUGUGGGAUCUUGGUUCUCUGACCAAGGAUCAAACCCACCCACACCCUCGGCCGUGAAGACAUGGAGUCCUAACCACGGGACGGCCAAGGAAUUCCUGACAGUAAUUUUCAAUAGCUAGACAACUGCUUGAAGAAUAGAGUAAUCUUUAGCUACCUGCAUACCUGUCUGUCUUUGGCCUUCUCUGUGAACACUUAGCUGAUUGUUGGAAAUGAAUACUGAGUUUGUUAAAACGUCUGAUGCCAUGGUGUCAGGAAGUAUUACUGGGAAUCAAAACUUCAGUCCAAGAAGAAACAAGAGUUUCCUGUUGGCAAGAAGACCCAGUGAUGAGCCAAACUAUAAGCUGGAAAAUUGCUCACAGAGCAAAGGGUGUGAUAGUGAUAAUGCUGCUUAAGGACUGAGCUGGACCAUCAUCUGACUUCACUUUGGAGUAAGUCUCCUGAGCACGCCACACUCUACUUAAGGACAACCUCAGGCACAGAGUUUUAAAGGAGAGUUGAACCCACCAAUUGGCAGUGUGUAUGUGUGUGCACAUGUGUACAAGGAGAGUGUCAUGUGACUUUGGAUGUGGGGAGUGGAGCUAGGCAGAAGCGAUAUUUGAUAUUUAAGCUAGAUGGAAAAGAGGAUUAGAGGGAUUUAUUAGUCAUUGUCAAAUAAUCAAUGGUCUUUUUAUGUGGAGAA